UACGUAGGGUGCGAGCGUUGUCCGGAAUUACUGGGCGUAAAGAGCUCGUAGGUGGUUUGUCGCGUUGUUCGUGAAAACUCACAGCUUAACUGUGGGCGUGCGGGCGAUACGGGCAGACUUGAGUACUGCAGGGGAGACUGGAAUUCCUGGUGUAGCGGUGGAAUGCGCAGAUAUCAGGAGGAACACCGGUGGCGAAGGCGGGUCUCUGGGACGGUACUGACGCUGAGACGCGAAAGCGUGGGGAGCGAACAGG
rnacentral:rRNA from 1 species